rnacentral:rRNA from 1 species
GGCGGCAUGCNUAACACAUGCAAGUCGAACGAAGCCUUCGGGCUUAGUGGCGCACGGGUGCGUAACACGUGGGAAUCUGCCCUUGGGUACGGAACAACAGUUAGAAAUGACUGCUAAUACNGUAUGAUGUCUUCGGACCAAAGAUUUAUCGCCCAGGGAUGAGCCCGCGUAGGAUUAGGUAGUUGGUGGGGUAAAGGCCCACCAAGCCGACGAUCCUUAGCUGGUCUGAGAGGAUGAUCAGCCACACUGGGACUGAGACACGGCCCAGACUCCUACGGGAGGCAGCAGUGGGGAAUAUUGGACAAUGGGCGAAAGCUGAUCCAGCAAUGCCGCGUGAGUGAUGAAGGCCUUAGGGUUGUAAAGCUCUUUUACCCGGGAAGAUAAUGACUGUACCGGGAGAAUAAGCCCCGGCUAACUCCGUGCCAGCAGCCGCGGUAAUACGGAGGGGGCUAGCGUUGUUCGGAAUUACUGGGCGUAAAGCGCACGUAGGCGGCUUUGUAAGUUAGAGGUGAAAGCCUGGAGCUCAACUCCAGAAUUGCCUUUAAGACUGCAGACUAGCAGGUGAGAGAGGUAAGUGGAAUUCCGAGUGUAGAGGUGAAAUUCGUAGAUAUUCGGGAAGAACACCAGUGGCGAAGGCGGCUUA